rnacentral:pre_miRNA from 1 species
UUGGUUUAAAUCAAUUCUGGAUCUACACUUUGAAAAUAGAACUCACACAAAGUGAUGGAACAUACAUAUUGAUUUCAUCCAA